UACGUAGGGGGCAAGCGUUGUCCGGAAUCAUUGGGCGUAAAGAGCGUGUAGGCGGUCCGGUAAGUCGGCUGUGAAAGUCCAGGGCUCAACCCUGGGAUGCCGGUCGAUACUGCCGGACUAGAGUUCGGAAGAGGCGAGUGGAAUUCCCGGUGUAGCGGUGAAAUGCGCAGAUAUCAGGAGGAACACCGGUGGCGAAGGCGGGUCUCUGGGCCGAUACUGACGCUGGAGGAGCGGAAAGCGUGGGGAGCGAACAGG
rnacentral:rRNA from 1 species